rnacentral:lncRNA from 1 species
GCAUUACAUCCAUUGCAAGUAGAUGUUGAAACUUGGUUUACUUGAGUGUGUCCCUUGAGUUUUAAGGCCUCUAACCUACGUAGUAUAGUAUCUAUUUUGACCUCUGUAGCAAGAGAUGUAGAUACUUGGUGCAUAGCACCUCUUGUAGGUUCCCUAGUUGCCUUCCAUAGCUGGCUCUUUUCUACUAGGUCCUCUAAGAAUUGCCAGGCUUCAUUGGCUUCCUUAUGCAUAAACUGGCCCUGACACAUUGACUCUAGCAUGGUUCUAGAGUUUGGGUCUAGUCCCCCAU